rnacentral:sRNA from 1 species
AUGUACCACUCGUACACUCCGGUUCCUGCGCGCCGUCCGCGCCCACCUGACGGCUGCUCGCUACGUUUUGUUGGCC